CUGUACCUGCGCCAUUCUGGCACUGGGCUCUACACAGUAGGGCGCCCCGGCCACUUGGCGUUAACGAAGCCACUUUUCCUACAAAGGCUCAGAGCAGCUAAUCAUCAGGUAAUAAAAUAAUGUAGAAAAGAGACCAGGAGAGCAAAACAAGGUCAAAAAGGAAGUUGAGAACCAGCAUAAAAACAGACCCUCCUCCUUGAAGAACGCCCCAGCCUAGCUCUCUUUCCUAGGAUGCUUAUUCCUAUGAUGAAAUUUGCCCUUUUUUUUGCCAAUUUAAUGGUAUUACAGUUUGCACGUGUGGAUUUUUCUGGCGAUUUAAAAGUCUUUUUGGCGAUUUAAAGCAAAACGCAUUCCGAUGUAUUUUAGUUUGGAUCUCCAGGAAUUAAACCGAUGCGUCCAUGGAUUCAUCGUGUGACAACAGAAUUGCACUCAAAGACUUGUAAUGAGCCCCUUUGUCCCCCAGACGGUGCUGCAACUUUUGUGUCAUUCACCCCUUUGUCCCCCAGAUGUCUCUCCAAAAUUGGAGGUUGACGGGGAAGAGGAUACCUGCACUUUUUCAGUAACUGGGUGUAAUGUGUUUCUGCGGACACGUUGCGUUGCACACCAGAUGAUGCGGUCCACCCAGCCCAACAUGAAUCAAUCUUUGUUCGCUUGUAUGGACACCUGUACCCCAACCUUUGUGGGCAGUGGUACUAGGAGGGCCUUGAGAGCUGUAGCCCUAAAAAGUUCAUCCUAGCCCCCGUCCCGGUGCUGCCGCCCGCCCGCAGAGACACGGCACAUCUGCCUGGCUGCACGGGACAGCCGGGCUGCAGCUCCCUGCAGAUCGGCACUUCAGGAACAACUCGUUCUGUUCUCUCCUUUGAUCUGGGGGAUCGUAACAGGUUCCUGCCAGUGUCCCGUCCUGUGUGACACACAUUCAAGGUCCUGCUGUUGGGAGCCACCACUUCUUGUAAACCGAGGCACUGCUCUCAGUGCCUCCCUUCUGCUCUGGUACCCACUUUGUGCUUCAACCAACUGGUCAUUUUAAAAGUUUAGUCCAAUGACUCGUCCCAUAAAUUUCAAUAAUACCUCCCCUGCAUCUCCUUUUCUACAGCCUAACCACUCUCAGUUGUUUAACCUUUUCCCAACGGCUUGAAUUUCAACUGCUACAGUAGGUUGGGGCAGAUGGUUGUCUGACUCCAUUGUCUCAUUACUUGAGACCUGCAAGCAAACUUCAGGAUCCCAUCCCGACUUGAAGUUACUACUUAUGAGCUUAUGUAAGGAAUCAGCCUCUUCCAAGGAAAGCUCUUCCUUGGCACUCCCCAGAAAGUUUUGUUUGGUCUCUAACCUGAUGGACCCCUACAGCCAACCCUGGCAUGGGUUUCCAAGCGGUGUUGAGACCCUGCCUCCUUGUUGGCCUUUGUGCGUUAGACAGCCUGUCUGCUCCCACGGCUGUGACUGUGUGACCCACACUCCUAGAGACCAGGUAACCCCUGCUGCCCUUUCUGAACCGUUCUCAUGCAUACACAGAUACCUAUGAGCCAAUUCCCAAAAAGCAAACCUUUAAAUGCCAUUUUCUAAGCCAACAGGGGAGAGGGAGGAGUGCCAUGUCCCAGCCAGCACAGCAGACUGCUUCCCUUCAGUUUUUCUUGUGCCGUUGCCAUUCCCUUGUUCUCCCUGGGACUCUUGCUUUCCUCCUCCCUCCAUGCCUCUUCAGUGACCUUCAGGUGCAGUGUGCCACAUCGGCAACAAAACUGUUAAAAGACUGUAAUAUCAACUCACCCUGCUCUCCUAGGUAUCCCACUUAUGAACCUAUCUAUAGCAAAGGGUACUCACAUUGAGCCUCUCAAAAUCUCCCCCACCAGGACGCUAGAUCCUUUCGAGGGAGCCGGGGGUACCACACCUAUCAGCACCGUUAGGUGGGCAAAUCUGAUUCGCAAGAUGCACCCAGAGAUUUCCAACAGAAAUCCAGAGUUGUGGUCUUUUUGAGUUCUUUGCAACAGAAAACUGCUGUGUUGUUUUUCAGUAGUUAAAAAAGAGUAAAAAUGAAGAGCUGAUGUUUUCUUACGGGUUCCUCCAAUCGAUCCAGGUUGAGAACCACUGCACUAGCUAUAUCCAGUUCAAUUCGUUACCUCUAUAGUGAACAUUUCUACCACUGCUGGAGCACGGUCUGGGCUAGAUGGACCGUGGGUCUGACCCAGUACGGCACAUCUUUUGUUCUUAUGCCCCUUUCAAGUGCCUGAUUUGGGAGCUACUUAAUUACUUCCAGUAUGUUUAUUUUUUGGUUGCUAAUGGCAAGCCCCUUCCCCAUUUUAUAUGCACACCUCAGCUCCCUACUCUUGCCCCCCAAACUUCCUCCCCUCCCGAGUACUGCAUGCACGUGAUGUCAAUGUGUUAAUGCAUGAGGGAAUGUAAUCAUGAACUACCAGGGCAGAGGAAGAUCUUAUGUGAAGAGAAAUGGUAUAACAAAUAAAGUGAACAAAUGAAAAUACA